UACGGAGGGUGCAAGCAUUGAUCGGAAUUACUGGGCGUAAAGGGCGCGUAGGCGGUCAGGAAAGUCAGAUGUGAAAUUCCGAGGCUCAACCUCGGAGCUGCAUUUGAAACUUUCUGACUAGAGAGCAGUUGGGGAAAACGGAAUUCCACGUGUAGCGGUGAAAUGCGUAGAUAUGUGGAAGAACACCGGUGGUGAAGACGGUUUUCUGAGCUGCAACUGACGCUGAGGCGCGAAAGCAAGGGGAGCAAACAAG
rnacentral:rRNA from 1 species